rnacentral:rRNA from 1 species
CCUACGGGUGGCAGCGGUGAGGAAUAUUGGCCAAUGGACGAGAGUCUGAACCAGCCAAGUAGCGUGAAGGAUGACUGCCCUAUGGGUUGUAAACUUCUUUUAUAUGGGAAUAAAAUGUUCCACGUGUGGGAUUUUGUAUGUACCAUAUGAAUAAGGAUCGGCUAACUCCGUGCCAGCAGCCGCGGUAAUACGGAGGAUCCGAGCGUUAUCCGGAUUUAUUGGGUUUAAAGGGAGCGUAGGUGGAUUGUUAAGUCAGUUGUGAAAGUUUGCGGCUCAACCGUAAAAUUGCAGUUGAAACUGGCAGUCUUGAGUACAGUAGAGGUGGGCGGAAUUCGUGGUGUAGCGGUGAAAUGCUUAGAUAUCACGAAGAACUCCGAUUGUGAAGGCAGUUCACUGGACUGCAACUGACACUGAGGCUCGAAAGUGUGGGUAUCAAACAGGAUUAGAUACCCGGGUAGUC